AGAGUUUGAUCCUGGCUCAGGAUGAACGCUGGCGGCGUGCUUAACACAUGCAAGUCGAACGAUCCUUCGGGAUAGUGGCGGACGGGUGAGUAACGCGUGGGAAUCUGCCCUUAGGAGGGGGAUAACGGCUGGAAACGGCCGCUAAUACCCCAUAUGCCGAGAGGUGAAAGGAAAUUCGCCUGAGGAUGAGCCCGCGUCUGAUUAGCUAGUUGGUGGGGUAAAGGCCUACCGAGGCGACGAUCAGUAGCUGGUCUGAGAGGAUGAUCAGCCACACUGGGACUGAGACACGGCCCAGACUCCUACGGGAGGCAGCAGUGGGGAAUUUUCCGCAAUGGGCGAAAGCCUGACGGAGCAACGCCGCGUGGGGGAUGAAGGCCUCUGGGCUGUAAACCCCUUUUCUCAAGGAAGAAGACCUGACGGUACUUGAGGAAUAAGCCACGGCUAAUUCCGUGCCAGCAGCCGCGGUAAUACGGGAGUGGCAAGCGUUAUCCGGAAUUAUUGGGCGUAAAGCGUCCGCAGGCGGCUCUGUAAGUCUGUUGUUAAAGCGUGGAGCUCAACUCCAUUUCAGCAAUGGAAACUACAGGGCUUGAGUGUGGUAGGGGCAGAGGGAAUUCCCGGUGUAGCGGUGAAAUGCGUAGAUAUCGGGAAGAACACCAGUGGCGAAGGCGCUCUGCUGGGCCAUAACUGACGCUCAUGGACGAAAGCCAGGGGAGCGAAAGGGAUUAGAUACCCCUGUAGUCCUGGCCGUAAACGAUGAACACUAGGUGUCGGGGGAAUCGACCCCCUCGGUGUCGUAGCCAACGCGUUAAGUGUUCCGCCUGGGGAGUACGCACGCAAGUGUGAAACUCAAAGGAAUUGACGGGGGCCCGCACAAGCGGUGGAGUAUGUGGUUUAAUUCGAUGCAACGCGAAGAACCUUACCAGGGUUUGACAUCCUGCGAACCCCUGAGAAAUCGGGGGGUGCCUUCGGGAGCGCAGAGACAGGUGGUGCAUGGCUGUCGUCAGCUCGUGUCGUGAGAUGUUGGGUUAAGUCCCGCAACGAGCGCAACCCACGUCUUUAGUUGCCAGCAUUCAGUUGGGCACUCUAGAGAGACCGCCGGUGAUAAACCGGAGGAAGGUGUGGAUGACGUCAAGUCAUCAUGCCCCUUACAUCCUGGGCUACACACGUACUACAAUGCUACGGACAAAGGGCAGCAAGUUCGCGAGAGUUAGCAAAUCCCAUAAACCGUGGCUCAGUUCAGAUCGUAGGCUGCAACUCGCCUACGUGAAGGAGGAAUCGCUAGUAAUCGCAGGUCAGCAUACUGCGGUGAAUACGUUCCCGGGCCUUGUACACACCGCCCGUCACACCAUGGAAGUUGGCCAUGCCCGAAGUCGUUACC
rnacentral:rRNA from 1 species